UACGAAGGGGGCUAGCGUUGCUCGGAAUCACUGGGCGUAAAGGGUGCGUAGGCGGGUUUUUAAGUCAGGGGUGAAAUCCUGGAGCUCAACUCCAGAACUGCCUUUGAUACUGAAGAUCUUGAGUUCGGGAGAGGUGAGUGGAACUGCGAGUGUAGAGGUGAAAUUCGUAGAUAUUCGCAAGAACACCAGUGGCGAAGGCGGCUCACUGGCCCGAUACCGACGCUGAGGCACGAAAGCGCGGGGAGCAAACAGG
rnacentral:rRNA from 1 species